AUUCAGCCAUCUGUGACAUCAUCAAAUGGCACCCUGAAGACUGUGUGGUGCUGCAGAAAAGGCUGGAGAAAGCAGACUGCAACCGAAACACCUGCCUGCGCUAAUCACCUCACCUCCUGCUAACAAGCAGAGCAACUUUGCAGGUUCAUUAGUGCUACUGCUCUUUAUAAUGCAUUCCGGCACCUAUCCUAAACAAAGGCCUGCAGACAAAUAUAAUCUCCUCGGGUUUGCAUCACCUCACUGAGAAGUAAUUCUAACCUACCUCUCUCUCGCUCUUGGGGGACACAGCAGGGGUUCUGCGGUUCAGGGGAUGGAGAGAACAGAGAAAGAGAGAAAGGCUGGAAGAACACGACCACUUACCGCUCUUACACACCGGGCAGCACCGCUCAGGCUCAUAUUCCGGAUCAACACACUCGGUCUGCGGGCAAGCUGACAGCGAACACAGAACCUCUCCACUGGGCUCACAACGGCACUUCUCACAUGGAGACACCUGGAAACACAGCCAGAUGAAAAACAAAACCUUCUGUAGCAACACUCAUCAUACUAUUGUGAUUGAUAUGAGGUUUAAUUAUCAGAGGAAUAACAAGAGCUCUGAUCUGAGGUGUGCUUCUUACUGGGAACUGAUGAGUGUUCGGUUUAAUUGAUGAGCACGCUCAUAUAGUCCUGCCAAUCAGAGCACUUGAGAGUAUAUUAAUAAUGCUUACCUAAUUCCUUCAGGCAAUUCCUCUGGCAUUGCUCAUCUCCCUUCCUUUCUUUCCAUAUUUAUGUCCAUAGGGAACUCUGAGUUGUACCUUACGCUCGAGCCCAUUCAUUAUGGAUGAAUAUAAAUACCUGUCUAUUUUAUUGAGUGAUUUUUCAACUACAGGCACUUUUAGGUCCCAAGGGUUGAUUUUCAUUAAAACUCCAACACCCCCCCCCCCUCCUUUUUUUUGUUAGACGGAGGUCAUAUUAAAACUAUCUUUUUAGCAUGCC